rnacentral:lncRNA from 1 species
GCGUUGGUCUUCCCAGAUGGUCAAACACUGGCAUUUAAGAAGAUUCAAGGUUUUCUGGGUCUAUGGGAAAUUCUCAAUACUCCAGCUCUUGGGCAUUCCCCACUCAGAGAAGAUACACUAAAUGUAUCACCAUACAGGUAGAUAUUCAUUUUAAUUUGCACGUGACUUUUGUUUUUUUAUUCAGAUUGAUUUUUUAAAGUACAUUUUUUAGAUAGGCAGAGAAAAGACUAUAUGCAGGUCGUUGUUUGAUUUUUGCCUCUACUUCCCUGCCUUAUUUAGGGAAUUUUCAUGAGUGGAAAGAUAUAUAAAUAAUUAACUCCUUGUGUUGUCCAAAUUAUAUUUCAUCUCCCGAACAACAUCUGUAGCAAAUUUUUUUGUACAAACUGAUGCGUUUCUUCUCCUUCUCUCAACCACCAAGCUAACAGAAGGCUUCCACGGACGCUGGUGCCUAUUCUUUAGAGUAAUGAUUAAAUCGCUACUUACCAGUUACCUCUGUUGAUUUUGUUUACCUGAUUUAUUUAUUUUUAGUUAGGUGAGUUUGAUUUCAAACUGGAAUCCAUGAUACAGAGCACAUAGGGAUCUCUUUAUCUUUAUCAAUUCUAUGAUUCUGAGGGCCUGAUUUUCAAAUCCCAGUUUCACCAUUCUCUUAUCCAUGUACUGGGCCCUGUUGUCUCCUACCUAAACC